rnacentral:rRNA from 1 species
UGAACCUGGUUGAUCCUGCCAGUAGUCAUAUGCUUGUCUCAAAGAUUAAGCCAUGCAUGUCUAAGUAUAAGCUUUUAUACGGUGAAACUGCGAAUGGCUCAUUAAAACAGUUAUAGUUUAUUUGAUGGUCGCUCACUACAUGGAUAACCGUGGUAAUUCUAGAGCUAAUACAUGCGCAAAGACCUGACUUUUGG